rnacentral:lncRNA from 1 species
GUGCUUCUGAUGCACUGAAGCUAUCUAUUGAGAACAACACGUAUCUUGGAGGUUUGUGCUAGGCUUUGUAAUUCUUCAAAUUGUUUUGUUAUCUAUAUUUUAUUGUUUUUUUCUGAUGUGCAUACAAUUAGUGAAAUUAUUUGCUACGUGAUGUUGAACUUACCCUGUCAGUUUAGGAGAGAAUUGUCGAGCGUCAGACAAUUGUCUAAUUAGGUGUUCCCUACUGGACUGGUAGAAUGACAUGGUAAUGGAUUUUUUCCUCUUUGCCAAGGCUGAUUAAAAUUCAGUUUCAUUACAUAUUCUCAUAUAAUUGUUUUGUGAUCAUAUAUGUAUAUUCAACUUACCCAAUUCUUCUUUUUGUUUUCGUAAGUUAGAUUGUCUUUUAUUCCACUGAGACAUGUGUUUCACGAAAAUC